GCCUCCUUCCUCUUCUUCAUCUCCAUUCCCAAUCGAUUGCAGUGACGGUUUCUCUAAGGGUAUUGAGCCCCUGGCCCAUCCUUCCAAGCAAUCCCUUCCUGCAAAUGUUCUCAAGUGGAGUCCCAAUUCAAGUUUUCCAACUGUAUGUAUUGGUAGAUGCGGACUUAAAAACAUAUAUCUGUGAAGGCAAUAAAGUUGCUUCCCUUGUUCUUGAUCCUUCACUUUGAAUUCAACAAAAAUAUGCAGAGUUCUAGUAAGAAGCUAAAAAAACAUGAAGUUGCAGUGAGCUUGAUAAUAAUCAUCUUUCCAAGACGUUGAUUAUAAAGGGUACUGAUAAGAAGAAAAAUCAACAUAUGUAAGAUGAUGUAGCCCUCUUAGAAACACAACAAAGGAUUUCCAAAGGAAGAUAGCAUUCCCAUAAAUAACUUGCCAGCUUUUUUUUUUUUUUCUGAGUUGGUGUUCUUAGAAAUUUGAAAUAGCAGAGGAAAGAGUAGUGAAUGCAGAGAAGGCUUUUGUGGGCUUUGUCUAUGUGGGAUGUGGGUAGAGUAAGCAGUAACAGUGGUGAAUUGGCGGACAGGGACUUUGAUCCAACCAUUGGCAAAGGUAAUGUCUAAGAUGACAAAAGGGGUAGACAUGCCAAAUAUGAUGAUAUAAGGAAGAGGUGUCUUCAUUGGAUUCUCUCCUUCCCUUUCUCGUGCUGUCUGCCAAUACCUGCAUUUUAUCAAACACUCCCAGUUCAGGAAGAGGGAAAAGCAAAGAUGUAACAGAGUAGAGAAAAAAUUUAACGGAUGUGGUGGUGGAAGGUGAGAUGGAGAUGGAAAUGGAAAUGGGUUCACUUGAUGUGUUUGGUAUGCGUUCUUGGAAUGCAUUCUAGGCCUGGAAUGCAUUCUGGGAUGUGUUUAGUAGUGUUUGGUUUGCAUUCUCGUUCAUGAGAACUACAAUGCCAUGGAAAACAAGGGUUGUUUUAGAACGGGCAAAUUUGUCCAUUCCACGUUCUGAAAAAUAAGUGAUCAAACUCGUUCUCAAGGCUCAUGAUAAACUCGACUUUCAUCCUUGACCUAGAGAGCGAAGAAGCAUUGAGAGGAAACCUGCGAGGGAAGCUUCAUGGAGAAGAACCUGUGAGCUGAGGGGGCUUCAGCAAUCAACGAUCGUUGUCGAUUUCUCCUCAAACCCUACGGUUAAAGUGACUACAAGUAAGAUAAGAAUGAUGGAUACACAAGAGAAAUCAUCCAAUCUGUCAAGGGGGAAAGAAAUUGCUAUGAAUGAGAAUGCUAGUAAAAAAAGAAAGAUGGAGAUUGGGAAGGAAAUCGUCAAAGGGCCAGCAAAUUGGACAGAUGAUUACAAAAAACAUUUUAUUGACAUCUUAUUGAUCAAGUACGUAAAGGGGCUAGAAUAAACACUAGUUUUAGUAGGGAUGCUUGGCAUAUCAUUUUAAAGCAGUUUAAUGAGUCAAAGCAAGCCAAUUAUGAUAUGCAAACAAUUAAGAAUUGUUAUAGGGCCUUGAGAAGUGCAUGGAUUACAUGGAAAGUAUUAUUGGAAAAUAACAUCGGA